rnacentral:rRNA from 1 species
GAUGAACGCUGGCGGCGUGCUUAACACAUGCAAGUCGAGCGAAGCACCUUGACGGAUUUCUUCGGAUUGAAGCCUUGGUGACUGAGCGGCGGACGGGUGAGUAACGCGUGGGUAACCUGCCUCAUACAGGGGGAUAACCGGUGGAAAUGGCUGCUAAUACCGAAUAAGCGCACAGUACCGCACGGUACGGUUGGAAAAACUCCGGUGGUAUGAGAUGGACCCGCGUCUGAUUAGGUAGUUGUGGGGGUAACGGCAUACCAAGCCGACGAUCAGUAGCCGACCUGAGAGGGUGACCGGCCACAUUGGGACUGAGACACGGCCCAAACUCCUACGGGAGGCAGCAGUGGGGAAUAUUGCACAAUGGGGGAAACCCUGAUGCAGCGACGCCGCGUGAGCGAUGAAGUAUUUCGGUAUGUAAAGCUCUAUCAGCAGGGAAGAAAAUGACGGUACCUGACUAAGAAGCCCCGGCUAACUACGUGCCAGCCGCCGCGGUAA